rnacentral:rRNA from 1 species
AUGCCAAGAAGCAGCUCGAGGACAAGGAAGGUGAGUAACACCUUAUUAAAAUUGUACCUUACAGAAAAGGAUUUUGGUUGCAAGAAGAAUGACAAGGAUAACGUGGGUAUUACAGGGGCCACUAACGAGGUGGCGACCCUGAAGGAGGCGGUGUCCGCAGCCGAACGUAAUGCGGCCACGGAGCGCACCGAGCGAGAGAAGCAGGAGGCAUGGGUGGUGGAGGUACAGCAAGAGCUACAGGAUCUCGUGAAAAAACAUGAGAGCCUGGAGCGUGACUCAAAGACUCGAGAGUCUGAGCUUGCAACGGCUCUUGAGAGUGCCAAAGCCGCUAAGGCCGAAGCCUACAAGGCCCUCCAAGAAAUCGAAGCGUUGAAGAAAAUAGCAGCGGGUAAGGCAUUUUUCAUGCAAAGUAAGCAUGUGAGUGUUAAUUACCUGUUGCUUACCCGAAUUCGGAGCUCUCCAGGAGCAUUCGCAGAUCUUCCUCGCAGCGUGUCCGAUGCUGCCGCGUUCUACCGGGCCGAGGAGGGGAGCUCGACGGAGAAGGUCUUCUGGUCUCAGUAUGCUGAGGCCGGACAUCCGGUGCCCCUUAGCGACCAGCUGAAGCAGCUGGUCGAGCUCCACAAGGCGGCCGAACAAGCCAUGAAGGGCCUCAUUAUUCGGCUGUGGCCGAAGGAGACCAUGCCUGGGAGCUACUUCGGCCUAGUGCGGCGGCUGGUGGAUGUGUGUCCAUGGGUUAAAGUCAUCAAGCACUCCGCCUGUAUUGAAGGUGCUCGUCGGGCCCUUGCCCGCGCAAAGGUGCACUGA